rnacentral:rRNA from 1 species
GUGGGGAAUAUUGGACAAUGGGCGAAAGCCUGAUCCAGCCAUGCCGCGUGUGUGAAGAAGGUCUUCGGAUUGUAAAGCACUUUAAGUUGGGAGGAAGGGUAGUAACCUAAUACGUUGCUACUUUGACGUUACCGACAGAAUAAGCACCGGCUAACUUCGUGCCAGCAGCCGCGGUAAUACGAAGGGUGCAAGCGUUAAUCGGAAUUACUGGGCGUAAAGCGCGCGUAGGUGGUUCAGUAAGUUGGAGGUGAAAUCCCCGGGCUCAACCUGGGAACUGCCUCCAAAACUGCAUGACUAGAGUACGGUAGAGGGUAGUGGAAUUUCCUGUGUAGCGGUGAAAUGCGUAGAUAUAGGAAGGAACACCAGUGGCGAAGGCGACUACCUGGACUGAUACUGACACUGAGGUGCGAAAGCGUGGGGAGCAAACAGGAAUAGAAACCCUUGUAGUCC